UACGAAGGGGGCUAGCGUUGUUCGGAAUUACUGGGCGUAAAGCGCGCGCAGGCGGCUAUCCAAGUCAGUGGUGAAAGCCCGGAGCUCAACUCCGGAACUGCCAUUGAAACUGUUUAGCUUGAGGACGAGAGAGGUGAGUGGAAUUCCCAGUGUAGAGGUGAAAUUCGUAGAUAUUGGGAAGAACACCAGUGGCGAAGGCGACUUACUGGAUCAUGACUGACGCUGAGGCUCGAAAGCGUGGGGAGCAAACAGG
rnacentral:rRNA from 1 species